UACGGGAGGCAGCAGUAAGGAAUAUUGCGCAAUGGGGAAACCCUGACGCAGCAACGCCGCGUGGAGGAUGACACUUUUCGGAGCGUAAACUCCUUUAUCAGGAAAGAAUAAUGACGGUACCUGAUGAAUAAGCACCGGCUAACUCCGUGCCAGCAGCCGCGGUAAUACGGGGGUGCAAGCGUUACUCGGAAUCACUGGGCGUAAAGGACGCGUAGCGGAUUAUCAAGUCUUUUUGUGAAAAUCUAGUGGCUUAACCACUAAAACUGCUUAGGAAAACUGAUAGUCUAGAGUAGGGGAGAGGUAGAUGGAAUUCUUGGUGUGGGGUAAAAAUCCGUAGAGAUCAAGAAGAAUACCCAAUUGCGAAAGCGAUCUGCUGGACCUAAACUGACGCUGAGGCGUGAAAGCGUGGGGUAGCAAACAGGGAUUAGAUCC
rnacentral:rRNA from 1 species